CGGCCGCGGGCGACUCCUGGUACCCCCGAGGCCCCGCGAACUCACCUUCACAAAGCUGUCGGCGUCCGGGAAGCCUGGCAGCACCAUCUCUCCGUCGGAUUUGGUUGCGCUGGUCGCCGACAGGACCCUGGGCUCCCGGGUACUGGGUGGCGCCAUUUUUUCAGCCUGCACGGCUCGUCUCGCGAGAGCUUGUCGGCCGAGGAGACGGGACGCGUGCGCACCACGCAUGCGCCAGGUAAGCUCCUGAAGAAAGCGUCUAGCUCCAACUGUGCUUCCUCCCUCCAGUACCCUCUGAACUCCUCCAAGCAGACGUUGUUUCCUGCAGACAUCGCUGGAACCAUUCUGGUUAACACAGAGUGGGAACUCAGUACACAUUUGUGAAGUGAACUCCUGGAAGAGCUCUUGUGAGGGAGGCACCGAAUUAUCAGGCAGCUCAAGAGAUAGAUUCACUCUCCUGAAAUUAGAGAUGGGAUGCCCUUAAUACAAUUCAUUCCACCCAUUAAGUCUUCAAUAAAUGUUCAGCAUAUCCAGUUAAG
rnacentral:lncRNA from 10 species